rnacentral:misc_RNA from 1 species
UAAAAAAACCAACAAAUAACUGAUGGAUGAUUAUUAAAAAGAGGAUACAUUGCAAAAUAUGAAAUUCUAAAUCUCUCGAGACAGAGUUACACGAGUUGCUAUACUAUUAUUCUUAACACUCACAACCAAGAUUAUUUUCUGGCAAAUAUAAAACAAGACACAUAUUUACAUGAAAUAGUUGCCACAUUUUUCACUACUAACAACACCUAAUAUGUCUCUUAUAACUUUAUUGUGUAUUCAGCAAUCUCAAUGCUGUAUUUUCUUUACUGUAACCAAAUCUAAAGUGGAUCCAUACAUUUUAUGCAGAGCUUGAGCAGACCAGCCAUGUCCAUCAUCAACAGUAGGCAUCCUUACUUCCAUGAAAGUCAUAGGAGCAUGCUGAGUCCCGUGCACGAUUACGCCAGCAAAGACUCUCAGGACAUUAGAAGCAUCAAUGUCCAUGCACACACUAAUCUCAGGAACACCUUUUUGUGCUGGAGGUAUUCCUCUGAUCUUAAAAUAGCCUAGGAGAUGAUUGUGUUCCGCAGCUUUCUCAUCGCCUUCGUAAACCAGGAUCAAUGCUUCAGCUUGGUCAUCAUGGACGGUAGUGAAGAUCUGUUCUUUCCUUACUGGUGUUGUCGUGUUCUGAUGAAUAACUGGUACAAAGUCACCUCCAUCAGCCUGAAUGCCAAUGCUUAAUGGAGUUGCUUGGAUGGUUAACAGGUCCAAAUUCCCAAACGGAUCACUAAUUCCCGAAGCUACUGCUCCUUCCAGGGCUGCACCACGUACAGCUGCCUCCAGCGGGUUCAUUCCUGAAUAAAGCUCUUGUCUUUUGCAUAUACUCAUGACAAUGUUCCGAACCUUUGGAACGUAGGAACAGCCACCAACGAUUAUGACAUCAUGUACAUCUUCUGCUUCUAGUUUAGCAGCUUGCAAGCAGCGUUUUAUCAGAGCCUCACAUUUCUCGAACACUUCUUUGUUCACCUCUUCCAACUCUGUCCUCGUGAGAACCUUAGAUAAUUUUGUUCCAUUUCCCAAGUCAACAUCAAUCGGGACACUCUCAUCGAAUGAGAGUAGGUGGAUAGCAUUCUGAGUGGCAACUCGAAGCAAUCCCAUUCUCUUUAUUUCUUCGAUUCCAUGGCUUGAGAAUAGAUCAUCCAUGUUUGGUAAGAGGUGAUGCAUCAGAUUUUGAAGUAGAUCCUCACCUCCAACCGUGCUGCCAGCCAAGGCCUUGAUCUGCGAAACACCACCUGCUGUAGCUGUUAUAGCUACGUCACAAUACCCCGCACCCAUAUUGAAUAUAAGAGCUAUCUUUUCACUCCCGCUACCCAUAUUUUCAUGUCCAGACUGCUGUUGCUGCUGAGCAUAUAACAGAGCAACUGCAGUUGGUUCAGGCAUCAAUCUUAGAACAUGAAGCCCUGCCAUGGCACAAGCUCGUUCAAUUCGGGUCAACUGGAAUCGGCUAAAUGAUAUUGGAACUGUCAAAACCACAUUCCUCACUGGACGUUUCAGUUUAACUUCAGCCAUAGCUCUCAGUUCAACUAGAAAGAUGGCAAGAACUUCUUCAGGCGUAGUGGACCUCCACAUAUUGUUCACUAAGGCAGCAAUAAAUGGCCUGACACCGAUAUUUAAAGUUUCAACCAAAAAGGGGAGGCUCUUGCUGGCAUGAACCACAGGAUCUGUAUCAACUCUACCAAUCAAACGUUUCAUGUUGAAGAUUGCAGCCCCAGACAACAUGUCAUAUUCAUGAGCCAGUUCAUCACUAACACCACCAGCAGGAACCUCAUCUUUAAAGGUGACAUAUGAUUUCAUCAAUUUCCGAUUUCUCGUGUUUCUGACAAGCUCCACCUGAGAUCCACUCCAAACUGCCACACUGCAUUGUGAUGUACCAAUGUCAAUCCCAAUUGCUAUCUCAGGGAAAGACGAUGACGUUUUUUCCUCCCCGGUUGUUUCACUAUCAGAUACCACAGUAUAUGCUUGUUCAGCCAUGAAUACAGAUUAAAGAACUCUUUGAGUACGCAAGAAUGUUGGUGUUGAGGUGGACUUCCUCCAACAGGAG